rnacentral:rRNA from 1 species
GUCCACGCCGUAAACGAUGGACACUAGGCGUCGGGGGAGGCGACCCCUCCGGUGCCGUCGCUAACGCAGUAAGUGUCCCGCCUGGGGAGGUACGGCCGCAAGGCUGAAACUCAAAGGAAUUGACGGGGGCCCGGCACAAGCGGUGGAGCAUGUGGUUUAAUUCGAAGCAACGCGAAGAACCUUACCUGGGCUUGACAUGCUGGUGAAAGCCGGUGGAAACAUCGGCCCCUCUUCGGAGCGCCAGCACAGGUGCUGCAUGGCUGUCGU